rnacentral:lncRNA from 1 species
AAUGUCUGCAAAAUCUUUAACGAUGUCCCAAAGACGCCACCUUUAACCGCAGGGGGUGAGCUUCUUAUUACCAGCACCCCGAGGAUUAUCAUCUUUCCAGUCAUCCCAUGCCCUUGCCUUCUGCACAGCUGCAUCAUCAUCUUCAUCAUCUUCUUCUUCACCAGAUUUUACCUUUGGACCGUCCUUGUACCAUGCAGAGUUGGCUUCUGCCAUGAGUUUAGCAUUUCUCUCUUGCCAUUUAUUCAUGAUCUCCAUCUCCCUCAACCCAGCUUCUUCUAUACUCAUGGUUGGCAACCUUUCCGAGGACAUUCAACAUAGCAAAUCAAGAUUAACAAGUCUAUUAAUGUAAAAGAGAUCAUGUUGAAGAGGAACAAGACAUUGAAAAUCUCUUUGCUGAAUGAAAACAGGGGAACUAGCUAAUUUUGAAUCGGAGGACGAAAAGGAGAGAAAUGUAUAUAGCAACUUAUAUGACUGGUUAUUAGGAAGGAAAUAUAUCCAAUCUUUAUUAUAGCAUAACUCAAGUAACCAGUUAGUGGUUAACAUCUCUUCUCUGCAUAUUAAAAAUUGAUAAAUAAGAGACGGGACAUACCUGUGGCUAGGUUGGAAUACUUGUGCUGCCAUCCUUUCCCUUUCACUUGUUAGACUUCCACCUACAAGACUUGCCGGUCCAAAUAUCAUUGGCUGGUGCUUGUGAUCAUGUGCCUGCGAAACGUUUGCUCUCCCUUCUAGAACAUCUUGAGCAAAAGUAGCACAGGUGAUAGGUGGUGCUGGCUUGGUGUAUUGCGCUCGAGCAGCAGCUUCACGGUGCCAAGCUUCUGCUUUCUUUGUUCGCUCAUCAAGAAUAGAUUGCGAAAAUUCCUUGUCCCCUUCCUGAAACGUAGACCAAAUGAGAAUAGUAAGCUACAUGUUGCCAUGAUAAACUGAUUACAUGGAGCAGAUGAAUCAAGUAGGGAUGAAAACUAAUUGUAAUCCUGCAAUAAUGCUGAACCAUAAUAGCAACUGCAGAUAUAAUGUGAUAUUUCAAGGAAUUCUACUUUUGGCUUGGCAUUAGAAAAACCUUAAUACCAGAUAUCACAGAAUGAGAGAACAAAGUAAGCUGCAGGUGCAAAAAUUUAUAGAAUAAUGACAACCUGAAGAUGAUUUAUAAUCACAUGAGGUUCAAAUUUAAAGCACAUUUAAAUCUUUUGCAUAAAUCUCUACAGCAAAAUGAUCAAUAUCUUUUCGUAGUGCUUAGAUGAUACAUCAAAAUUCAGUACCAAGGAGCAGUUUGGCCAUUGCUGAUGGCUCUGUUUCAUCAAAACAUACUUCAAAUAAUCACAACCGAAAGGAAAGAGAGAAAUGAACAGAUCCAUAAGCCAUUAUGUGCAGAAAUACCCAUUUAGUUGUCUUUCCUUUACUGAGUUUGGGCAUUGCCAAUGAAUUUGUUUCAUCAAAACAUACUUCAAACAAUGACAACUCACAGGAUAGAGAUAACUAUAUAGAUACAAUGAUCCAUUAAGUGCAGAAAUACCUUGAGUUGUCUUUCCUUUAUAACAGAAAGGAUUUCUUCCUCCUUCUUUAACAUGUCAAGCAGAUCGAUUGCCUGUCGUGGGCUCACAUGGAAAAAAGGUAGUUUUACAAUGGAUACAAUAUCAAUAGGUUUAGGAGAAUUGUAUAGACCAAAUUACAAGGAAAAUGCAUGACUAACCUUACAUAUGGCCAAAGAGAUCAUAGCAAGCCAAGCCUGUAAAAAAAAGCACUGUGAUUUCAGCAGGGCACAAAGUUUCAAGGAAAAAUUAAAGUUGCAAAUUAUACAUCUACUUAUGAGGAAGUGCACAUAUCAUACUCCAAAGCUCCAGUCAAAUAUUAAUCACCUAGCUUAUGGAAUUUUAGUUAAUAGAAUAGGUUUUUUCAAACAAAGAGAAACCAUACUAAAUUCUGCUGAAGUCAAAAAAUUAUUAUGCUAAACCAUCUCAAUGUAGGCACAAUCAAAAUGAUUGGCAUUGUGAAACGAGAAUUGAAGGAAGACGAUUGUUCUUUUAAGUUCUUUUUGCAUGUGUAGAACAGGCAAUGAGAAAAAAUUACUCUGCUUAAAUUUCAGUUUGCUGACAACAUCAUCUUCUUUCUGUCUAAUGAUUGAGAUAGCUUCAACAACGUAGUCUUUAGAAAAUAAAGUCAUGUAAAAAAAAAAACGAAAAGUACAAAUGUAAAAUACCAUAAAUAGUUUUCAAUACUCCUCAAACUAUCUUCUUAUCAUAGUCAUCACAAUAUUUAAGUUCUACAAGUUACAAUACCAUAAAUAGUUUUCAAUACUUCUCAAACUAUCUUCUUAUCAUAGUCAUCACAAUAUUUAAGUUCUACAAGUUACUACACAAACCUCCCGCUCUUCUUCUCCAUCAUCAUCCAAUACAUCUUCUUCUCCAGCCUCAACUGGAGUUGAUAAGGCAGUUGCCCUAGUUGAACGGCCACGUCGUUCUUUUCGC